rnacentral:rRNA from 1 species
CAACGAACCUUACCCUUUUAAGCGGGGGAUAGCCCAUAGAAAUGUGGAUUAAUACCCCAUAGUAAUGUUGUCUGGCAUCAGACGAUAUUUAAAGAUUUAUCACUUAAAGAUGGCUGUGCGGCUGAUUAGGUAGUUGGUGAGGGUAACGGCCCACCAAGCCAGCGAUCAGUAACUGGUGUGAGAGCACGACCAGUCACACGGGCACUGAGACACGGGCCCG